AUUGAACGCUGGCGGCAUGCCUAACACAUGCAAGUCGAACGGAGGUAGGGGCAACUCUACUUCAGUGGCGGACGGGUGAGGAAUGCGUCGGAAUCUACCCUAUGGUGGGGGAUAACACAGGGAAACUUGUGCUAAUACCGCAUGAUGUCGAGAGACCAAAGCAGGGGACCGCAAGGCCUUGCGCGAUAGGGAUGAGCCGAGCCCGAUUACGCUAGUUGGUAGGGUAAUGGCCUACCAAGGCGACGAUCGGUAGCUGGUCUGAGAGGAUGAUCAGCCACACUGGAACUGAGACACGGUCCGGACUCCUACGGGA
rnacentral:rRNA from 1 species